rnacentral:rRNA from 1 species
GUUGCGCCCAAAGCCAUUAGGCCGAGGGCACGUCUGCCUGGGCGUCACGCAUCGCGUCGCCACCCCUCUCCCGAGUUAGGUGCGGGGUGACGGAUGUUGGCCUCCCGUGCAACGUUUGUGGCGCGGUUGGCCUAAAUGCGAGACUCUGACUGGCUAGAGGACACGACGAGUGGUGGUUGAAUKCUUUGUCAACURGRGCGGCGUUGUCGUCYAAGAGCCACGUCGGAAAUCACGAUGUUCGUAGACCCAAGUGCCCAACAUUCGCCGUCGCGAUGACGACGAAAGGGGGCCCUCGACCGCGACCCCAGGUCAGGCGGGACUACCCGCUGAGUUUAAGCAUAUCAAUAAGCGGAGGAAAAGAAACUAACGAGGAUUCCCCUAGUAACGGCGAGCGAACCGGGAACAGCCCA